GGGGUUGGGGAUUUAGCUCAUCGGUAGAGCACUUGCCUAGCAAGCACAAGGCCCUGGGUUCGGUCCCCAGCUCCG
rnacentral:tRNA from 1 species